rnacentral:lncRNA from 10 species
UUUUUUUUCCCCCCGCUUUGGUGAACUCGCAGUACUUGGGCUGAGCCCGAAAUCUCGCGAGAUGCUGCAGGCGUCAGUGCGGCUUCCCACUAGGCGCGUGGUACCCGAGGCCGGGCCGGAGCCGCAGGCCAGCCGCGAUUCCUUCGGGCGAUGCUGGGGGCUUUCCGGUCGGGGCCGCAGCCGCUUCCGGAGCCGCGGGCGAGGUGCGUUCCCCAGCCUGGUUUGCUCUGGGCUCUGACCCGCCGCCGCGAAUCUCCGCUCGUAACUCCGGGCCUGAACCUGGAGGAGGGAGGAUUUCCUCUGUGCAGCUUUCGAGCGGUAGACUCACCCUGCCAGGCAGACCUAGAUUGGCAUAACCAGAGAUCAGUUCCAGUUGUGAUGCAGUGGGUGUCUACACACUUCUGAUGACACCUUUAUUUUAAAAGCUGAUGUUCCAAGGUGCAAGCGGUCUUCUCUGUCUUCUUUAUGGCCAGUAAAAUUCUCCAGAAGAGAUUUAUGGCAGCCUCACUCCCAGUAGUUUCUGCAUUUAGUGAGAUAAGUACCCUGGGAUGUCACUCAAGUCUCUUUUUAAACCUAUAUCCACUUCACCUCAUUUGGCUU